UAGUUUCCCUAGCUGCUGCAGGAGCCAACAGUGAGUUACACACGACAAGCACCCCUCAAACUGAUCAAGAAAACCGAGGCAGCCCAUCAAAUGCCCCUGAUACAAUCCAGAGAAGAUGGUCCUUAAGAAAGAGGAAAAGACCCAAUCUCGUUGAACUAUGUUCUACUCUUGAGAGAUUCCAUCAAGUAAUUCCGAAUCUCGUCAAGAAAGUGGUUACGCUUCGAAGACUUGUUGCGGAAUCGGACUCGAUCAUUCGACAAAUUCCAUACUACGGUCACAACGCUACUUACUACUGCUUGAAAUCUGAGGAGCUUCUGAGGACCUGCAUGUUUCUCCUGAAAGAAAUCUCCAAGGCCUCGACACUACAGUAGAGUUAACCUUUUAAAUUGUGACCUCUGUAAAAAUGGAUAGUCAGCAAAUGAGAGAUGCUUUGAAGCUGUGAAUGAACUCCGUAAUCUCCAUGUGUAGCCAGCAACCAAAUUUUUCAAUCUAACCCCAAAUUCCCCCAUCAGAAUUCAGACGGGUCCGGAUUGGGAUCUUGAACGUUUACUAUCUGUAGAACGAGCCAUCGAACGAAUAAACAAUUCUUUCUCUCAAUUA